rnacentral:tRNA from 1 species
GCGCCCAUCGUUCAACGGACAGGACAUAAGAUUGCGGAUCUUAAAAUCGAGGUUCGAUUCCUCGUGGGCGCA